rnacentral:lncRNA from 1 species
ACUGAUGAUUCUCACAUGGGAUGCAUGUGGAAUGCGAGAUAAGGACAGGCAACAGAAUCGUGAAGUGAUAACAGAAAGUUUUAUGCCAACCAAGGAAGAUGUCACCCAGGGUAAGCCAACAAAGCAACUUUCUAUCAGGAUAAUCCUGUGCUUUGCUGCUGCUCAAAAAUAAUGGCUUGCAAAUGGUUAUUUCAUUCACAAUAAGGGGACUGAAUUCUUACGGGGCAUUCUGGUGAUGGGAGACCCAACUCCUACUCAAGAAAGCUAGGUAAGGAAGAAGAAUGAGGAAGAGGAAGAGGAGAAGGAGAAGGAGGAGGAGGAGGAGGAGGAGGAGGAAGAGGAGGAGGAGGAGGAGGAAAGCAAGUGCUGGCUUUCUUGUUUGUCUGCUUUUUGACCUUGGCUAAAGCUACCAAGAAGUUACAUACUAGCUUGACUCAGGAAAAUUCUACUUGCAACCACAUACAGUAACUUUUACUUCCAUCUCACACCAAGGAAUAUCAAUACCAAAUAGAUGAGUGUGGUCCUGGAACCAGUGGCAUCUAGGGAGUGAGUGAUGAUGUGGAGGGGAUGGAAGGAGGAGAUUGGUGCUGGGAAUUUUUAGGGAAUUUGGUGGUCUCUCUUAAGAACAUGGUAGCUGUAAAGGGUUAAAUUCAGAAUGUGGCACAGGGGACAUUCUCAUGUGUUUUCUAGAGUUGCUUUGGAGUCAUGCCCUGGAGAUAUUUUCAUCUAGCAGUAAGAGUCUAGAAACAUUUCUUUUCUUAUUUUCAUUUGUUACAUGCACUUCCUUUGGACCACUAUUCUUGGAAUGGGUAAUGUAGUGGUUAUGCACUGGGGCAAUUAUUAGCUUGUUUUCUUCUAUAAAGCUUGGUCAUAAUGUUCUUACUAUUUUCCUUAGAGUGUACCCAUACAACAAGCAGAUGAGCCAUAUGAGGACUGAGAGCUCACAAGAUUGGUUGGAGCUGAAAAAAGUGAGGAUUCAUGUCGGGAGGGCCAGGGGUAAACAGAGUUAAACAGUAUUAUGGCAAAGGCUGCUGCUACAAUUUGUUAUGUCAAAGUUUCUACCAGUAGACCAGCUCUCUUAAUGAAAUAAACCCCCAUCAGCCCAAAUGUCCACAAACCAGAGAUCUCAGAGUUUAUUUAGAAAGAUAUAAAACAGCAAGUUAGAGAGCUAAUAUCAGGGAUUAUUCAGAAAAGCACAUUUCAGUAUAGAAUCAUCUACUAUUAUUCAUUUUUACUUUCCUGUAGAAUCUCAGAACAUCUAAAUAGUUAUAAUCAAAGACAGAGUAAAUACUACAUACAGCUUGUUAGUGUUUUAUUGUAUUUGAAUUGUUUGAAAACUUGUUGUUUAUAUGGCCAAAUGGCACCUGCAAGCUAGUCCAAA